UUUUCGUGCCUCUCUCAGACUCACACACUCUCUCUGUUUCGCUGUCAAAACGUCCUAUUCCGCUCUUUGAUUACCUCAACUUAACCCGCAGAUACAACUUCCUCGACGCCGAGUUCAUCAGCCGAAACUCGCCGCAUUUUGUCGAAUCCAUAAUGUCUAAGAUGCUGAUGAUGUUGGUCGAACAUUGAAGAAGUUUCUCAGGAUGAAGAAAUUUUUUCCUGUGCUUCCUAGAGACAAAGCUACUUCUUCGGUAAAUCUAGAAGCAUCAGAAACUCCAAGUCAGGGUAUUAAAGUUGUUGAUUAUGAAUUGUUGGAAACAGAUCCAGGAAUUAGGCCUCCAAUUUCAAGCUAUCAUCCUGACAUCCAAAAUGAGAUGUCACUUUACAUUGGUAAUAUUACUGAACGCGUUCGGGGAGAGGAACUCGAGCGUGUUUUUCGUAGAUUUGGGCAUUGUAAUGUUCGGGUGAAAAAAGAAGGCUAUGGCUUUGUGGUGUUUGACUUCCCUGAGGACGCUGAGAAAGCUUUGAGGGCACUGAAAGGUAGAAAUAUAUGCGGGGAACGGUUGGCUCUGACAUGGUCCAACAAACAGCCGAAUUCAAAUUUUACAAGAUUUGAUAGGGGUGGAAGAAGAGGUAGCUAUGAGUUGCAACGUGGGAGGGAUUCUGACAGUUUAGGCUACGCGAGGAGGAAAGAGGGUUUCAAUGGAUGGAGGAAUCGCAAGAUGGGUGAGGCUGGAAGGGGUAAAUCUGUUGAAGUGCCUGGUGAAGAGGGGGGAUAUCAUGAAGAUGAUUUCAAGGAUUACGCUGGGGAGGAAAAAGAUUAUGGGGGGAGCUUUCCAGAUGAAGGUGGUGGAGCUGUUCCUAACCUGGAGGACAAUGGUGGAUGGAACGAGCCAACUCAUGACCCAUCAGUUGACAAUGAGAAAGGAAAUUCUCUAGGAUUUGAUCGUUAUGAACCUCAUCAUGGCUAUGACCCGAAGCAUGGCAAUGGAGAUUAUCAUGUGGGUUGCUCUGGUGGUUCCCCUGCAGUUAAUUCCCAAGAGAACAUGGGCAGAGCUCAAAUUGGUGAGGAAACCUCAAAUCGUCCAAAUGAUUCCAAAUUCCGGCAAACUUGUUAUAGAUGUGGUGAAUCAGGUCAUAAAAUGCGAAAUUGUCCGAAAGAGCAUUCUUCAGGGAGAAAAUAUGACUGGUCGGAUGUUGGGCAGAAUAGUAGAAUUAACCAGGAUCAUAGAGUUGAAGAUGACAAUAAAAUUGGAUCUGGUUCCUUGGUGAAGCUGCAGUCAAGUGGGGAUACUUUAUCAAUGAGGCGCCAGAGAGGUACAAGGAUGUCUGGUUCUCGACAUAACCGAGCACUAUCUAGAAAAGAGUCACCACCACCUGUAAUAAAUGAAACUGAUAGGCAUCGAAGAAGGGAGUAUGGAAGAAAGAAGCGAAGCAGAAAUGAAAGUGAAUCACCAACCAGAUCUUGGGCAAAGAUAUCAAAGUGGUCCGACUCAUCCCCUGUGCCUGCAGAUUACUCUGCAUCUCGCUCACUCUCAAAUUCUCAAUCAUCCAAGUCAUUGGCCAGGCCUACUUCCAAAUAUAGAUCAAGAUCAGGGUCUUCUAGAGCACAUUCGUCAUCCUCAAAGUUAAGCUCUUCGUCAAAAUCACGGACUUAUAGAGGCAAAAGUUUGAAUUCUAGGAGGUCAAGCUCCCCUACAUCUGUAUCACUUAACAAGCCUUUAUCGUCGAUUCCAACUAAAUUCCAGUUGAAUGCAAAAAGCUCAUCCAUUAAUGGUACUGCAUGUGAGAAUGUGGAUCAUUUGGUUUCACAGGGACAGCAGAUUGGCAGCACAAUGGGAUUGGAGUAUCCUCAAAUACAAUCCAAGGAUACAUGCAUUGCUGUCAAUGGAAAAGCUGCUGUAGACACCACAGUGGUGGAUGCCAUGGAAAAGGAACUAUGUAUGCCGGAGGACAAUAAUGAAAAUUGUACUCUCGUAAACCCAUCUGAUGGAGUGGCAAAUUUAUCCCAGCCAGUUGCUGAGAAAUUGUCUCCAUUAAUAAUGAAAGAGACAGAGGGCUUUCCACAUUCUGGAACAUCAAUGGUGGAUGAUAUUCCAGCAGAAACUCAGAAGCUAGCUUCUGAAACUCAUGUUAAUCCCCAUUCUGGCCGUUCAACCAUCAUAUCCACAGAGGAAAUGUGCAUGGUUCUCAAUAACUAUGGCCUGGAACUUCCAAACGAUUAUGAAAAAAGUUCCACAACAGAGGCCUUCUUUGGUGCUGCUCGGUUGUGGCCUUGGCAUAUUGUUUAUUACCGUAGGUUGAAGAAGGGCCCAAUUUCAACUGAGAACUAUGCCAGGCGGGUUGCUCAGAAUCAGGAAUUUGGCAUUGCUGAUAAGUAUAUAAGAAGCAGUAGUGGAUGGGAAGAAUUCAGUCUUGAGAACCUUAACAGUUAAUACUGCUACAAAUGAUGCUCUGCUGGUUCAUUUAUCCUCACAGGAGCUAUGAGUCUAUGAUGUUUCUUCUUUCCACAUGGCUCUCAAUGGAAUUCAUAUGUGAUUCUCAGUGGUUAUUUUCAAGAAGUUUGCUCAGGAGGGUUGUUGGAAGCUCGCCAAAUUGUCAUCGGAGGCGCUGCGGUGGCCGGUCGAUGGUAACACGGUGGCUGGUUGAUGGGUAUGCAGAAAGAAUCGACUCCCAGCAUGAAGAUGUAAAAGCAAGCGUCUGUCAACUUCUCAGUUUUUUUUCACAUUUAUCGAGAAGUUAAACCAAGAUUAUCCCAACUAAUGGCCCUAACGCAGAAGUUAUGAGGGUAUUUUUUGUCUGUAUCAAACCUUUUCCACGUAGCGGCUUUGAAUUUGCAUGCAAAAGCAGCUGUGGAAGCCGCGAUGGUAAAACGCUCCACGAUGGGAAGCAUUGUAGCAGCCUGGGACCGCUCUGCUGUGUGACAGCGUGAUUGCACAAAGCGGGCAAUUAACAACCCUGAGUAUACUAUAAUUAUUAAAUGACCUUUUGAACUUGAAAAUUUAAAUCCUCAAACAUAAAGUAAAUGCAUCUCAACAUGCUACAAAUAUGUAAAAAGUAAAUUAUCCUAUUUUCCUGAGCCAUUAUAUUCAAUUUUUAUGCAGCUGUUUGUCGCUCUGUUGUUUUUGAAUAAUUACUUAAAAUGUUUCUGUUUUUGCUCUCUGGUCUUCAUUUUAGCUUAUUAACUAGUGCUAUAAUGUAUUAGUAUAUUUGUUUGUGGCUUCUAUAGUGUUUUGAGCAAUGAUAGGCACACACACAAAGACACUUCACGCCACAUUCUAUCCAAGUAUGAAAGUUAUUUAACUAGCAAUCUACCUCGAAGUAGCCAAGGAGUCUAUAGCAAGAAAUUUGAUUAAUAUGAGAAGUUAAAUGGUUAAUGAUGCUUAAGUUAUUGAUUUAAUAAGCUUAAUACUUGUUAAGUGGAAGUGAUAUUUUAGGGGUCAUGAUUCAAGUCAACUUGCUCCCAUGAGGAAACGUUCUAAUCUGUUAUAUUGUGAUGAAGUAACACUUGCAAAAAAUAAGUGAAAUUUUCCAAUACACCUGAAAAUUUUGAUUCCAGUAAUUUGGUUCAGUUGCUCUUCCAAUUGAGUGGAUUAUUGACAAAGUAUAAGCCUUCUUCCAGUCUACUGUUUGUCUUUCUGUAGGGGAGUUCUGACAGGAUUCAUAAAUUGCGAGCUUUGCAUUCAUAGAGUAGCCUCUUAAGCCUUUUGGUAUUUAUUAGAUUAGUUGGCCAUGUAUCAAUAUUGUAAAGCCUGAGGAAAAAAAAAGGUAGAAAACCAUGGUUGACAUCAAUUAAUAUCUGAAACAAGUACCAGGUUACCCUUUUUUCUAAUAGCAAAACAAAGUUAAUAUGUUAUUCUUUCUGGGUCUGCAUCAAACGGUUAACAUGUCUUGCACGAUUGAGAGCCUAUCUUACUGAAAUUUAGUCAUUCCUGAAAAGCUACAAAGCUGCCAUGUCUGAUAAUAUUCAUCUUUAAGCAUGUUAUCAGUUGUAUGUGGCAAUUGGCACAUUAUGGAUUUUCCAUCACGUGAUAAAGUUUGGUCUUUAUAAGCUGCAAUUGAGUAUGAUUCACUCAGGAAACUGGACAACCAAGUUAAUUUUAUGGAUAUGAAUGUAAAAAUCUGCCUUUUUCUUUUCUUGGGUUGUAAGGGGGGUGGAGUAAGGAAAAAAAUAUCUUGUUCUUCAUUCUAUUAUGUUGAUAGACAACCACUAAACACUCAUUUGUUGUGAAAGUCAAGUGAGUUUGAAGUCCCACAUUGGGUGGAAGUGAAAGUGUUGAAGAGUAUAUAAGAGGUAAAGACCCACAACAAACCCAAUGCCUUAAGGUUUUAAGGUUUUGGGUAAAGAUGUGGUGUCCAUCUCUUGAUGGUCUUUUUUGUUAGUCCAGUGUGGUGUGCGGAGAGACCUCCAUGCCUCAUGACUCAACCUCAUUGACGGACUUUCUGACUUGAACUGGGUUCUUUAACUUUUUCUUGUUGUUAGUAAUUAUUUUCACUUGAAAUGUUCUGACUUCUUGAGCUACUAGAUACUUCAAUUCUCUUUUUAGCAAUUGACAAUGGAUUUGUAUCCACCUGUGUCUCAUUACCAUCUCAUUGGAGAUUGAGAAAUGAG